GAAGGCCUGAGAUUUGAUAGGUGGGGUCUUACUCUGCAGAAAUAUUGAUUAUUCAUAUUCACAUGACCUAAUCUGUCCCCUCUGACUGGUGGGACUAGAGCUAGUCUGUUUGGGAAGGAGAUGGGUGCUCAGAAGCUGGUUCUUGUGUCUGAGCUGCCAGCUUUUGGUACCAAGAGCUGGAGCGGUGGUUCUCAGACUCAGAGAGUAGAACCACGCAGGGGCUUAUGAGAAAUACAGACUCAAGGCUACCACCUCUGGCCUCCUCCAGUUGAUUUAUCAGGUGGAAGUAAAGACCAGUAAUCUGCAUUUUUAGCAAAUGAUCCAGGAGGAGAAGCACCCUACUUCAGCAUGCACCCCGUCAGGAAAAGGACCAGGUUUUACUUCCCUCCAGAUCCCCUGAAGGCUCUACUGUCUUCUGGGACCCUCCUGGGUAAACUCUGGGCUGGAAAAGCCAUUCCUCUCCCCGCCCCCGCACUGACUUUUGUCCGCCACUUGUCUUAAGCCCAUGCGCAGCUGACCCUUAUUUUCCGGGCCUGUUGACCCCCCCCCCCUAAUCCCUACCCCUGCCUCCAGGGAGGAAGGAGCCAGGCCUGGGGAGUAACAGGACGGUGUUUUAAGAAUUUCGAGGAGCCCAUUUCCAGAAAUCAAAGAGCAGUUGGUUUCAUGCCUUUUAAAUCACACCGAGAGGUUUCAGUUUCCUCCUUUCGCGGGAUCACAAAUAUUUGGCGUUGGGUUUCAGUGUUUUCUGCCAGUGCCGGGAGCUCAGACCGCCCUUCCCCCGGGGCGGGCGCGCUGCGCGCCCGGGUGCGCGGGGCUCUCCUGCGGGCGAUCCCGCGCCGGCGCCUCGGCGUCUCCAGCUGCGCGCAGCAGAGAUGAAGCCUCCCGGGGCCGCACCUCGCCGCCCAGAGCCGGGCUUCCGUCCUCCGUACGUGCAGAGACUAAGAAACAGUUCUCUAGACACUGCAGUGACCAAGACCUCUCCAAGGCCCCUUCCUCUGAGCAGAUGCUCGGAGCCGGGCGAGCUCGGCGGUGAGGCGGACCCGGGCGCCACCUGCCGUCCAUCGCGCCUAAGCGACGGGAGGGUGAAGGGACAAAGUUGCUUUGCACGUCACUGGCCUCCCUAGGAGACAAGUCAAGACUGAAAAAGUGCACCAGACGCCCGGGAAGUGGAUUUGCAGAACUUCUGCGCUAUGCGAGACAGAAAAAUCUUCCUAGAUAAGAGAAAACAUUUUGAGGGGUUCCCACUGUCCUUCAAACUGAUGCCUUGAGGGCCCUGGGAGUUCAGUGUAAACAGCUGGAAAAGUUUGCCAACUCCUGCUCUAAAACUGCUGUGCUGGCUCUCUAGCAGAAGACACAAGAGAGUGGUUGUAAGCAAAGAGACAAAAUUUCCACGGUUCCAGGAAUUGACUGGUGGGUUUGCAUCUGUAAAAAUUUGUUUCUUGCUUGUGCUCUAUAAUCUCAGUAACAUCCAACUACAUAUCUUUCCCCUUAAGCCUCCUAAUAUUUUCAUGAUGUCCUUCAGCCUCUCCUGCUCAUGUCCUCUUAAUGAAUUAUUCCUCUUUCAACAGCCUAAGUCAAAUAUCUUAUUAGUGAAGACCUACCAAACAGAACCAACUAGAUGCUGGUUCUUCUUGGCAUAAAAAUGAAAGACUGGAUUGCUUCUUCCUUUAGGCUCAGUAGAGCCUUUAUCCCCCAGCCCAACCCCCCGCACUAGCCUGUAGAUUCCCGGGGAUGCAGGAGAGCAGGGACUGUGUCUUAUCAGGUUUCCUGCCCAGCUACUGUUACAAGGCCUGUCAAGUAUUAUUACUGUCUUCACCAUUCAUUAAACAUUAUGUGCCAAGGCCUGUGGUCUUUGUUUUCUAGGUUAUAUCAUUUCUAUCUCCCAACAAACUUAAUAGGGAGGUACCACUGUUACCCAUCCUAAUGUUUACAUAUGAGAUAAAUUUAUAUAUUAAAGCUUAGGAGCAUUUUAAAAUAAUUGGCCCCGAAGUCACAUAGCUAGUCAAGUGACAGAGCCAGAUUUAGAAUUCAGAUAAUCCACCUACAGCAUUUUCCACCACAUGUCACAUAUAACAAGCAUAUGAUCAAUAAAGGUUAGCUAUUAGAAUUAUCACCCAAAGUUGGACAGCUGAUAUAGUUAAAAAGCUGAUGUUGUAAUGAGGUGGGAAGGCCCAUAAGAAGACUGGCGGGAUACCCAAGCAGAGCCACUACUAUCCUACCAGCACCCUCUGGUUCCCUGGCCAAGAGGCUCUAUCUCACUUUUUGCCUCUGAAAGGGCUUACUUCUAGGAGAAUGGAACUUACCCCUAAAAUUCUAUUG